CCGAGGAAAAGAAAGUAACAACGAUACCCUAAGUAGCGGCGAGCGAUCGGGGUAGAGCCUUAACCGUAUUCAUGUCAAGGAUGCAGCCGUUGUGGAUACGGGGUAGCGGGAAAGAGAGAGAAAGAACAGCAAGCUAUUUCGCAGACGUAAGCAAAGGAACAAGAAAGAUCUGGAAAGGUCUACCGUAGAAGGUGAAAGUCCUGUAUUGGUAGUUUUCUUGCGCUGU
rnacentral:rRNA from 1 species